GAAAUGCGAUAAGUAAUGUGAAUUGCAGAAUUCCGUGAAUCAUCGAAUCUUUGAACGCACACUGCGCCCUCUGGUAUUCCGGGGGGCAUGCCUGUCCGAGCGUCAUUGCGAACCCCUCAAGCACGGCUUGUGUGAUGGGCCCUCCCGCGUCUUGGUCGUCAAGACGGGCCCGAAAUGCAGUGGCGGCUUCGCGGUUAUCCGAUCAGCCAGAGCGUAUGGGGACUUUCUCUCUGUCACACGCCCGCGGCGCGGACCGACGCCUGUCGACCUUCAUUCAUCGUUUUCUCGGUUGACCUCGGAUCAGGUAGGGAUACCCGCUGAACUUAAGC
rnacentral:misc_RNA from 1 species